AGCGAACGCUGGCGGCAGGCUUAACACAUGCAAGUCGAACGCAUCCUUCGGGAUGAGUGGCAGACGGGUGAGUAACACGUGGGAACGUACCCUUCGGUUCGGAAUAACUCUGGGAAACUAGAGCUAAUACCGGAUACGCCCUUUUGGGGAAAGGUUUACUGCCGAAGGAUCGGCCCGCGUCUGAUUAGCUAGUUGGUGGGGUAACGGCCUACCAAGGCGACGAUCAGUAGCUGGUCUGAGAGGAUGAUCAGCCACACUGGGACUGAGACACGGCCCAGACUCCUACGGGAGGCAGCAGUGGGGAAUAUUGGACAAUGGGCGCAAGCCUGAUCCAGCCAUGCCGCGUGGGUGAUGAAGGCCUUAGGGUUGUAAAGCUCUUUUGUCCGGGACGAUAAUGACGGUACCGGAAGAAUAAGCCCCGGCUAACUUCGUGCCAGCCGCCGCGGUAACAC
rnacentral:rRNA from 1 species